rnacentral:lncRNA from 1 species
AGAAAACCCUGCAGAAGAAAUUACCUUAUCACAACAUAUUGUGAAAAUCGGUAGAUCCUUGUGCAUUGGGAAUAAUAUUUGAGGAUCUGAGAAAUACUGCACUGUUAAGAUUAUCAGGAAUAGAAAACCAGAGCUCGCCCUGAACAUACAGAUCUGCUUUGGAAGUGAGGGAGAAGUUUGUGGUUCAAGCUAAAGUCAGACAACCAAAAGUUCAGGGCUACUCAUCCAACAGAGGCUAAGUGUUGAGCCCAGGGCCACCCAGGAGGCAGGAAUGGACUGCUGGAGAAGGAUAUGACAUGUACAUCACCAAAGGUUUUACAAGAGCGCUUUUGGCAAAAAUCUGUCUGUAAUGUUUAUGUGCAGGUCAGCACAGCCAUGCUGUUUCUCUGCUGUGCAGUUGCCUAAGAGAGAAUACACACUUUGGCUUUCUGGAAGUGCGUGUGGAUUCACCUGAACACAGUUCUGAAAGAGGAAACGAUCAUCUGGAUGCAGUGAACUCAUGCUCAUAACAACUGAGUGGAAAUUCGCUUAUGCUAUUGAGUAUCAUGGAGCACUGCACCAGACAACACAGGACAAACUGCAGAACACAUAUGUUUAAGAGGUAUAUGACAAAAUGCUGCCAUGCUCCUUGAGUUGUGUUGCAAAGAAGAGUUGUGCUGUAUAUCCUGACGUCUUUUGCCAUCGUUACUGCAGUUUUUCCCUUCUGAAAUAUAGCUUUACGGAGCGUGGGAUCUACUAGAACUAGUAAAACAUAUGAAAACAGUAGUACUAUUAUCAGAACUGUAAUGAUUUGGAGCUAUAAAUGAUGGAAGAUUUAUGUAUAGAUUUCAGAGGUGGCAUUCAGGGAAACUUCCUUGAUGUCCUGCGCAGAUGUCACUGCUGACUCAUAGGUUUAGAGUUUCAUAGAAAUUAAGCGGAAGUGAAGACUCAGACACCUCGGAUUCUUGGUCAUCCUUGUUACAGUUAAAGAACGGGCUUGGAUUUGUUCCUCCAUAUCUGCCUCUUGCCUCCUGCAUUUUAGAAGGUUUGAAAACCACUGCCAGGAGGAAGUUUUUCACCCAGAGGGUGGUGACACACUGGAACAGGUUGCCCAAGGAGGUUGUGGAUGCCCCAUCCCUGGAGGCAUUCAAGGCCAGGCUGGAUGUGGCUGUGGGCAGCCUGGUCUGGUGGUUGGCAACCCUGCACAUAGCAGGGGGGUUGAAACUUGAUGAUCAUCGUGGUCCUUUUCAACCCAGGCCAUUCUAUGAUUCUAUGAUUCUAUGAUGAUUUUUUUUCCAGAAAUGAUUUCCUCUGAUGGCUGGACUUCUAACAGUAUAGAUGUACCAUACAGAAAGUUGCACGUGGACUUCAAAACUCACAUUGUUCUAAAUGUCAUGAGAAUUUCACGAGAAAUGAAAAAAAACCAGCAAUGAGCGGAGUCAUUGCAAAGGUAUUUAGACACUGUGCACAAGGCAAGAGGCCAUCUUACUACCUUUAGGAGAGUUUGAAGAUUUGGUUGUGUCUUGGCCAGUGCCAAGAAAAAAAGUGCAAUAAAAGGAUUGUGUUUAAAUCUGCAGAAACUGAGAUCCAGCCCAAAGCAAGACAGCGUGAAAAUAAGGAGCUGUGGAUCAAGCGGCUCACUGAGUGAGCUCGCCUGCCUGUUAGUCUUCACUGAAUGAAAACUGCUCACCUCACUGUGAAAGAUGCAGCAUAAAGGCUUGAUGUAGACUUGGUUCCCUCAGUGUGACCUGUAUUACCUGAGCAGAAGGAUGUCUCAUUUCUGGAUUCUGAUCAGGCUUAGGGGUGCCAGAAGAUUCUUGUUUUUUUUCUGCUGGACACAUCUUCUACAAAGCUGCUGUGGGAAGCUGGCUUAGGAUC